UGUUCAGGGGCGGGAAUCGAACCCACAACGUUCCGCUUACCGGGCAGAUGCCAUGUCCACUAGGCUACCCUGGU